GUCAUUGAAUCACUAAUUUAAACGAUUCGUUCAAAAAAAUACGGAUUCAUUCAGGAACGAGUGUGAAUAGCAUACUUGCAUACUACUUUUACUUAUUUCUGCCAUAUGAAGAUGGCACAAACAAACUGUUAAAAUGCAGUUCCGAAUUCAUUUGUGAGUGAGUCAUUUUAUCAACCGAUUCGUUUAAACACACUGCUUCACUUAGCAAAAAAACUGUUUGUUGCUCUUAGAUACUCAGCGGUUAAUUCUGACAUUCGUUUGGAACUAUUUUCUCGUGGAGCAAAAUUUGACCAAUUAGUUGGCCAAUAUUUUGUCUAAAAUAUUGGGAUGGUCUGUCAGCUGCAAGCCUGGAACAAGAGCCAGUAUUUCAAGCACUAAGCCAAAAAUAGCUCUGGCCUACACACUUCUGCUGAGAAUACAACACAAGGAGCUAAGACAAGAAUGGUUGAAGGAGCAGCUCAACCACUUUACAAGCACAGACAUGAAGAACAUCAUCUUUGUGUUCUUUAAACAUUGCCAAGGGGUUAAGGAGGGCAACGUUCAGUGGUCAAAAGUGCUGAAUGCAUAAUAAAAGUGAAAACCCAGACUGGCCACUAGAUAUUUGAGGCUUCCAGUAAGGAAUGCAAUAACAUGCUCUUUAUCAGACUCUCAAAAGGCUUAAUACUAAGGGCAAAGGAGGGGCACUGCAGCCUCAAUAGUGGUUUUGGCAGCCUAACAGAGAGAGAAAACAUAAGAAAACACACAAACAGCAAUUAUAAAACCAAGCUAUUAUAAAGCCAUUACUAGAGUAUCCAUCUCUAAUCACUGUCACUGCUUUGCCGCAACAGUACUGGAAAAUGGUUUACUCUACGCAAAAACUCUAGGCAACAUUAUUUUUAUAGACCAGUGGUGCCCAAAUUUUUUUACCAAAAAUCAAACCUGAUUGAGGCCUGUGGGCCAAAAAUAAGUGUUGCAUAUGUCCAACUAUUUGUUUAAUAAAUGUACAUUUUUUAAUUAAAUUCUCUUAUAUGCUCUUCAUUUCAAUGCAAAAUAAUAUGCACUGAAGUGUAAAAUGGCAUAGUGGGCCAAAUCAUGAGAUGCCCAAACCUGCUAUAGACAGAUUCAUUUAUGAGCUUGGCAAACAACUACUACAAUGCAUUCAAAAUGAAGCCACUUUGUAAUUUAAUUCUAAGUUAUGCUGACUUAUUAGUAAAAUACAAUGAAUACUCCAG